AACCCGCCCUAAACUAUACUCUCUCCUUAAAAAUCUCCCCUGAAGUUCUAUUUUUACAGUUAACCCCCUAAAAUUUUGCAAAAAUCACCCACCAAUAAAGUUUCGAUUGAAAUUUUCAGCUAAAAAGGCGAGUGACGUCACAUCCUAGGUCUUUAAAUUUAUAAUGACGAAGUUACCCUUAUUACCAUUAUAAGCUAUUAAAUAUUUCCUCCGUCUCACAAAUACAUAAUAUAUAAAAUAAAAAUACCCAAAUUGAUACAUUCCAAAAAAAAUACUCCCCCUCUCCUAAAAAAAGAUGUCCCCAAACAGAUCUAAUUUGGUACGGAGAUAGUAAAAAAUAUCCAAAUUGAAACCACCCCCAAUUGAACCCCAAAUCUAUCUGUUGGAACCAAGAUUCAUUCUCUCCCAAAUUGCCAUCUCUCAUUAUGGAUCUUCACCAUUUGAUUCUCUACAAGCCAUUCAACAAUCACAAACGAAACCCCAAGUUUCAUUCGCACACCCUAAUUUUUGUUCUAUAGCUCAAAUUUCUUCGAUUUAUAGCAAGAAAAUGAAAGUUUUGUUGAACACUGGUUGUCCGAGGAAGUUGGGUUUCAGCAAAAAGAGAAGUCGAUAGGAUUUUGACAGUUUGAUGUGAGAGACGAAACGAUCUGAUGGAAGCGUCAGCAUGGAAGGUAGAGCGAGAUGUUGAAGAACGAGUCAAAUAUAAGAUGAAUCGGGGUAUAGUUCGGCGAGGGAUGGUGUUAAGGAGGAGGUGGUUGUCGUCCUCAUCACCGUUAACCCCCUGUGACCGUUACCAGAGGAACGCAUUGAGCUUGUAAACUGAAUAUCGAAUAAGGAACUUCCUAGACAACUGUUUCAUUAAGAUGAGGAAGACAGCUCGGUGUCCCUAUUCUUUUAAGAAGCAGAAACAGAAACAGAAG